rnacentral:rRNA from 1 species
UACGGAAGGCAGCAGUGGGGAAUAUUGCACAAUGGGCGAAAGCCUGAUGCAGCUAUGCCGCGUGUAUGAAGAAGGCCUUAGGGUUGUAAAGUACUUUCAUCGGGGAGGAAAAAACAAAACUAAUAAUUUUAUUUCUUGACGUUACCCGAAAAAGAAGCACCGGCUAACUCCGUGCCAGCAGCCGCGGUAAUACGGAGGGUGCUAGCGUUAAUCAGAAUUACUGGGCGUAAAGAGCACGUAGGUGGUUUUUUUAAGUCAGAUGUGAAAUCCCUGGGCUUAACCUAGGAACUGCAUUUUGAAACUGAAAUACUAGAGUAUCGUAGAGGGAGGUAGAAUUCUAGGUGUAGCGGUGAAAUGCGUAGAUAUCUGGAGGAAUACCUGUGGCGAAAGCGGCCUCCUAAACGAAUACUGACACUGAGGUGCGAAAGCGUGGGGAGCGAAACAGGGAUUAGGAUA